rnacentral:rRNA from 1 species
UACGGGGGGGCAAGCGUUGUUCGGAAUUACUGGGCGUAAAGGGCUCGUAGGUGGCCAACUAAGUCAGACGUGAAAUCCCUCGGCUUAACCGGGGAACUGCGUCUGAUACUGGAUGGCUUGAGGUUGGGAGAGGGAUGCGGAAUUCCAGGUGUAGCGGUGAAAUGCGUAGAUAUCUGGAGGAACACCGGUGGCGAAGGCGGCAUCCUGGACCAAUUCUGACGCUGAGGAGCGAAAGCCAGGGGAGCAAAACAGGG